UAGUUGGUAGGGUAAUGGCCUACCAAGGCGACGAUGGUUAGCUGGUCUGAGAGGAUGAUCAGCCACACUGGAACUGAGACACGGUCCAGACUCCUACGGGAGGCAGCAGUGAGGAAUAUUGCGCAAUGGGGGCAACCCUGACGCAGCAACGCCGCGUGAGUGAGGAAGGUUUUCGGACCGUAAAGCUCUGUCGAGCGGGAAGAAAUGCAUGGUGGCUAAUAUCCAUCAUGCUUGACGGUACCGCUAAAGGAAGCACCGGCUAACUCCGUGCCAGCAGCCGCGGUAAUACGGGGGGUGCGAGCGUUGUUCGGAAUUAUUGGGCGUAAAGAGCGUGUAGGCGGCCGAAUAAGUCAGAUGUGAAAUCCCUGGGCUUAACCCAGGACGUGCAUUUGAAACUAUUCGGCUGGAGUAGGGGAGAGGAAAGUGGAAUUCCUGGUGUAGAGGUGAAAUUCGUAGAUAUCAGGAGGAACACCGGUGGCGAAGGCGACUUUCUGGCCCUAUACUGACGCUGAGACGCGAGAGCGUGGGUAGCAAACAGGAUUAGAUACCCUGGUAGUCCACGCUGUAAACGAUGUUCACUAGGUGUUGGGGGUAUUGACCCUCUCA
rnacentral:rRNA from 1 species